UUUUCCUUCAAGGCCUACUACAGCCAUGCCAGCCCAGCCUGUUGCCUUUCUUCUUCCCUAGCACGCUCACGUCUGUGAGCAGAGCGAUGGCGACGCUCACUUCGGUGAGCAAUGAUGAUGAACAGCGUUCGUGACGGGAGCAAAUCCAAGCUAAAAAAAUGUUCUAGAACCUAUUGAGCUGGCUGAUCGUUGGGGAAAUGACAGAAAAAGAUUCCACGAGCCGGGGGAUAACAAACCGGGAGAGAAAGAGUUGGCGUCAGGGAGUUCAAUCGAAUAAGGGGGAGAAAAAGAUCGGAAAGGAAGAGAGGGGAGGAAAAGGUAUGUGAGGAGAGCAUACCGGAGGUUCGGGUCGCUUGCCGAAGUCCAAUUUUCUGAAGCCGAUUUUCAUCACUUUUCAUCCAAAAUCACGUCGGAAUAGCAGUUCAUUCAUUGAGAAAGAGGAAUCAUAGCCGGACGUCCCAUUUGCCGUCGCCGAUUGAAUCUCCGUUUCUGUCCAGGUGAGCUCCUCAAAUAUGCUUCGUUUUGUCCUGUUUGUUUUAGCCGUUUAUUGAGUUUGAGAGUAUUGGAAUGAAAUGAUGAGAUUGUGGACAAAUCCUGUGAUAUUAAAGCUGAGUCAUAGAAUGUAAUGACGAUUUGGAGUGUGAUAUAUCAACAUUGAGUCGAGAAUUGCACUAAAA